UUGAUGUUCUAACGUGGACCCGUAAUCCGGGUUGCGGACAGUGUCUGGUGGGUAGUUUGACUGGGGCGGUCUCCUCCUAAAGAGUAACGGAGGAGCACGAAGGUUGGCUAAUCCUGGUCGGACAUCAGGAGGUUAGUGCAAUGGCAUAAGCCAGCUUGACUGCGAGCGUGACGGCGCGAGCAGGUGCGAAAGCAGGUCAUAGUGAUCCGGUGGUUCUGAAUGGAAGGGCCAUCGCUCAACGGAUAAAAGGUACUCCGGGGAUAACAGGCUGAUACCGCCCAAGAGUUCAUAUCGACGGCGGUGUUUGGCACCUCGAUGUCGGCUCAUCACAUCCUGGGGCUGAAGUAGGUCCCAAGGGUAUGGCUGUUCGCCAUUUAAAGUGGUACGCGAGCUGGGUUUAGAACGUCGUGAGACAGUUCGGUCCCUAUCUGCCGUGGGCGCUGGAGAACUGAGGGGGGCUGCUCCUAGUACGAGAGGACCGGAGUGGACGCAUCACUGGUGUUCGGGUUGUCAUGCCAAUGGCACUGCCCGGUAGCUAAAUGCGGAAGAGAUAAGUGCUGAAAGCAUCUAAGCACGAAACUUGCCCCGA
rnacentral:rRNA from 8 species